rnacentral:lncRNA from 10 species
GGGGUGCAGGUGCCCGAGUGAUAUGGUUUGGCUGUGUCCCCACCCAAAUCUCAUAUUGAAUUGUAGCUCUCAUAAUUCCCACGUGUUGUUGGAGGGACCCAGUGGCAGAUAAUUGAAUCAUGGGGGCGGUUUCCCCCGUACUGUUCUCAUGGUAGUGAAUAAGUCUCAGGAGAUCUGAUGUUUUUAUAAGGGAAACCCCUUUUGCUUAGCUCUCAUUCUCCCUUGUCAGCCACCAUGUAAGAUGCACUUUUCACCUUCUACCAUGAUUGUGAGGCCUCCCCAACUACGUGAGACCAGAGCUCUGCUUCUGGUUUCCUGAUGAGACCCUGACUGAUCCAGAAGAGACGGUGCCUAUACUAGUCAAGGGCAGGAACCUCCAGGCUGAGGAGCUGGACUCUGUACCUGUCUUCUUUGUCUCACUGCAUCGGGCUGUGCCCUGAGCCUCAUCUUCAGAAAAUGGAGGGAAGAGACAGGAAAUUGGAGGAGGGACCCAAGAAGGCCAUGUCCUGGAGAAUACAGCUUUCCUGGGGGCCUUGAGGAAGCAGCUAAGGGCCACUGUCCUUCAUCCACGCUUCAUCCCUUGCACUCCUCUUGGCCUGGUGUUUCUCUCCAGGGCUUCAAAGCUGAGGAAUCCACUGAUUCAGAGCAUGCUGUAGCCGUCAUCACCAGGUAUUGGGACUUGCCCUCAAUGUACUGGGUCUCAAUUCUUUUGUAUCCUCUCGUUUGUUUGGUAGAGAGAGGGGUGGAAAGUAUUGUAGAUGAUCUAUCUCUACAUCUUUAGUUUUGUGAUUGUAAUGAUUUCCAGUAGGCAAAACUUAAAACUCCUUGAGGGCAGAGGUCUGAUACCUAUUCAGACCCCUACUCAGGGGUCGUGGAAUGCGGUUUGGCGCCUUCUCCCAGCACUGUUGAUAACUGAGGGCAGCACCCGGGAGGGCCCCUUAGCUCCUUCCACCAUCUGGGUCCUCUGAUCCGCAGGACCUUUGGGGUUUAUUCCCUGUCCACUCAUGGGUUCUGUGUACCUUCUGCUGUUAAUCUACACCCCUCUCCCGUCUGCUCUUCCAUCUUAGUGCUCUCUUGCCACUUCAUAAAAAUGGUGCCACAAGCUCCCUGGGGACAAGGCAGGGACUUCUUCGCUGCUGGAGGCCCACGGCCAGCAUUCAUGCUGAGGGGUGAGGGUGGCAGGUGCGAUUUGAUGAUAUCCUCUCCCGCCCAAGCAAAACAACAGCUCUCCCAGACCCCAGACCUCCUCUGCAAGUGAAAGAACACCAAACAACUCUGUUCAAAACAGUUUAUUUUAUUUUAUUUUUU